AAGGGAGACCUAAUUCCAGUAGGAGACGAAAAAAAAGUAGUCCCUACCAAGAAUCAAUCCCAAAAGGUCGGAGCGAGGCAAAAUUGGCUUUCAAACUAGGUUCUGGGUUCACACAAGACCUGAAUCAGGAACAAGGGCUAUUAGCUCAGGUGGUUAGAGCGCACCCCUGAUAAGGGUGAGGUCCCUGGUUCGAGUCCAGGAUGGCCCACCUGCACAGGUGGAAGAAAGAAAAGAAGCUCCGAAUCAGCACCUUAUCUUACUUAUAUAGUAAGAGAGAAUGCUGGCUCUGAGUACAGAGUCCAGAGGAACCUUGAAAACUGCAUAGAGCUAGGUGAAAAAGCCAAAAAAGAAGACCGCAAG
rnacentral:tRNA from 2 species